CAAUAAGCGGAGGAAAAGAAACCAACAGGGAUUGCCCUAGUAACGGCGAGUGAAGCGGCAACAGCUCAAAUUUGAAAUCUGGCGUCUUCGGCGUCCGAGUUGUAAUUUGCAGAGGGCGCUUUGGCAUUGGCAGCGGUCCAAGUUCCUUGGAACAGGACGUCACAGAGGGUGAGAAUCCCGUACGUGGUCGCUAGCCUUUACCGUGUAAAGCCCCUUCGACGAGUCGAGUUGUUUGGGAAUGCAGCUCUAAAUGGGAGGUAAAUUUCUUCUAAAGCUAAAUACUGGCCAGAGACCGAUAGCGCACAAGUAGAGUGAUCGAAAGAUGAAAAGCACUUUGGAAAGAGAGUUAAAAAGCACGUGAAAUUGUUGAAAGGGAAGCGCUUGCAGCCAGACUUGCCUGUAGUUGCUCAUCCGGGUUUCUACCCGGUGCACUCUUCUACGGGCAGGCCAGCAUCAGUUUGGGCGGUUGGAUAAAGGUCUCUGUCAUGUACCUCUCUUCGGGGAGAACUUAUAGGGGAGACGACAUGCAACCAGCCUGGACUGAGGUCCGCGCAUCUGCUAGGAUGCUGGCGUAAUGGCUGUAAGCGGCCCGUCUUGAAACACGGACCAAGGAGUCUAACAUCUAUGCGAGUGUUUGGGUGUCAAGCCCGAGCGCGUAAUGAAAGUGAACGGAGGUGGGAACCCUUCGGGGUGCACCAUCGACCGAUCCUGAUGUCUUCGGAUGGAUUUGAGUAAGAGCAUAGCUGUUGGGACCCGAAAGAUGGUGAACUAUGCUUGAAUAGGGUGAAGCCAGAGGAAACUCUGGUGGAGGCUCGCAGCGGUUCUGACGUGCAAAUCGAUCGUCAAAUUUGGGCAUAGGGGCGAAAGACUAAUCGAACUAUCU
rnacentral:sRNA from 1 species